AUUGAACGCUGGCGGCAUGCUUUACACAUGCAAGUCGAACGGCGGCGGGGUAGUGCUUGCACUACUGCCGGCGAGUGGCGAACGGGUGAGUAAUAUAUCGGAACGUACCGAGUAAUGGGGGAUAGCCAAUCGAAAGAUUGGCUAAUACCGCAUACGUCCUGAGGGAGAAAGCGGGGGAUCGCAAGACCUCGCGUUAUUCGAGCGGCCGAUAACUGAUUAGCUAGUUGGUGGGGUAAAGGCCUACCAAGGCGACGAUCAGUAGCGGGUCUGAGAGGACGAUCCGCCACACUGGGACUGAGACACGGCCCAGACUCCUACGGGAGGCAGCAGUGGGGAAUUUUGGACAAUGGGGGCAACCCUGAUCCAGCCAUGCCGCGUGUAUGAAGAAGGCCUUCGGGUUGUAAAGUACUUUUGUUAGGGAAGAAAAGGGAAGUGCUAAUACCACUUUUUGCUGACGGUACCUAAAGAAUAAGCACCGGCUAACUACGUG
rnacentral:rRNA from 1 species